rnacentral:rRNA from 1 species
GACGAACGCUGGCGGCGUGCUUAACACAUGCAAGUCGAACGGAAAGGCCCUGCUUUUGUGGGUUGCUCGAGUGGCGAACGGGUGAGUAACACGUGAGUAACCUGCCCCUGUCUUUGGGAUAACUUCUGGAAACUGGGGCUAAUACCGGAUAGGAGCUCCUGCUGCAUGGUGGGGGUUGGAAAGUUUCGGCGGUUGGGGAUGGACUCGCGGCUUAUCAGCUUGUUGGUGGGGUAGUGGCUUACCAAGGCUUUGACGGGUAGCCGGCCUGAGAGGGUGACCGGCCACAUGGGGACUGAGAUACGGCCCAGACUCCUACGGGAGGCAGCAGUGGGGAAUAUUGCACAAUGGGCGGAAGCCUGAUGCAGCAACGCCGCGUGCGGGAUGACGGCCUUCGGGGUGUAAACCGCUUUCGCCUGUGACGAAGCGUGAGUGACGGUAAUGGGUAAAGAAGCACCGGCUAACUACGUG